rnacentral:rRNA from 1 species
GUGUGCCUAAUACAUGCAAGUCGAGCGCACUGGCCCAACUGAUAUGACGUGCUUGCACUGAAUUGACGUUGGAUUCCCAGUGAGCGGCGGACGGGUGAGUAACACGUGGGCAACCUGCCCUGAAGCGGGGGAUAACAUCUGGAAACAGGUGCUAAUACCGCAUAACAACGAAAACCACAUGGUUUUCGUUUCAAAGAUGGUUUCGGCUAUCACUUCAGGAUGGGCCCGCGGUGCAUUAGCUAGUUGGUAAGGUAACGGCUUACCAAGGCGAUGAUGCAUAGCCGAGUUGAGAGACUGAUCGGCCACAAUGGAACUGAUACACGGUCCAUACUCUACGGGAGGCAGCAAGUAGGGAAUCUUCCACAAUGGGCGCAAGCUGAAUGGAGCACCACCCGGCGUGAGUGAAGAAGGGUUUCGGCUCGUAAAGCUCUGUUGUUGAAGAAGAACGUGCGUGAGAGUAACUGUUCACGCAGUGACGGUAUCCAACCAGAAAGUCACGGCUAACUACGUGCCAGCAGCCGCGGUAAUACGUAGGUGGCAAGCGUUAUCCGGAUUUAUUGGGCGUAAAGCGAGCGCAAGCGGUUGCUUAAGUCUGAUGUGAAAGCCUUCGGCUUAACCGAAGAAGUGCAUCGGAAACCGGGCGACUUGAGUGCAGAAGAGGACAGUGGAACUCCAUGUGUAGCGGUGGAAUGCGUAGAUAUAUGGAAGAACACCAGUGGCGAAGGCGGCUGUCUGGUCUGCAACUGACGCUGAGGCUCGAAAGCAUGGGUAGCGAACAGGAUUAGAUACCCUGGUAGUCCAUGCCGUAAACGAUGAGUGCUAGGUGUUGGAGGGUUUCCGCCCUUCAGUGCCGGAGCUAACGCAUUAAGCACUCCGCCUGGGGAGUACGACCGCAAGGUUGAAACUCAAAGGAAUUGACGGGGGCCCGCACAAGCGGUGGAGCAUGUGGUUUAAUUCGAAGCUACGCGAAGAACCUUACCAGGUCUUGACAUCUUGCGCUAACCUAAGAGAUUAGGCGUUCCUUUCGGGGACGCAAUGACAGGUGGUGCAUGGUCGUCGUCAGCUCGUGUCGU